GAUGAAACAUAUCCUCGGCAGUUAACUGCCGCCGGUUUACUCAAAACUUCGGCAGUUAACUGCCGAAGGGUAU
rnacentral:pre_miRNA from 1 species